rnacentral:rRNA from 1 species
CACGAAGUUGGAAUUGCUAGUAAUCGCGGAUCAGCAUGCCGCGGUGAAUACGUUCCCGGGUCUUGUACACACCGCCCGUCACACCAUGGGAGCUGGUAACACCCGAAGUCAGUAGUCUAACCGCAAGGAGGACGCUGCCGAAGGUGGGAUUAGCGACUGGGGUGAAGUCGUAACAAGGUACC